GACGAACGCUGGCGGCGUGCUUAACACAUGCAAGUCGAACGCUGAAGCUCAGCUUUUGUUGGGUGGAUGAGUGGCGAACGGGUGAGUAACACGUGAGUAACCUGCCUCCUUCUUUGGGAUAACGCCCGGAAACGGGUGCUAAUACUGGAUAUUCACUGGUCUUCGCAUGGGGGUUGGUGGAAAGGGUUUUCUGGGGGGGGAUGGGCUCGCGGCCUAUCAGCUUGUUGGUGGGGUGAUGGCCUACCAAGGCUUUGACGGGUAGCCGGCCUGAGAGGGUGACCGGUCACAUUGGGACUGAGAUACGGCCCAGACUCCUACGGGAGGCAGCAGUGGGGAAUAUUGCACAAUGGGCGCAAGCCUGAUGCAGCGACGCCGCGUGAGGGAUGGAGGCCUUCGGGUUGUGAACCUCUUUCGCUCAUGGUCAAGCCGCAACAAUGGUUGUGGUGAGGGUAGUGGGUAAAGAAGCGCCGGCUAACUACGUG
rnacentral:rRNA from 1 species